AAUUUAAAAAUAUGCCCGUGUCCGUAUUCCGGUUAAAAGGGAAUGCAGUGAAAAUCUGCAACGGUCGCGCCGCUGUAUGCGUCUGGAUAACAAGAAUAAUCCAGAAACAGGCAAUAUGCCACUGUGACAGCUAAUGUCGCGGGAAGGCGCCUGUUUGCAAACGCAAGUCAGAAGACCUGCACUGGUAUAGAUCUUUAG
rnacentral:ncRNA from 2 species